CUCCAUGUUUACAGAGGUGAGCCCAUGAUUUAAGAAACAGGGUUGAACUUUUUCCAUCUAGGAUUGCAUGGUGCAUGCAUGUUCCGAUUGAAAAUCCACGGCUAGGAAAGAGGGUGAUUUGCAAGGCCAUUGCUGCGGCUUUUUCAUGAGAUAUUGCCAACUUGGGCACGAGAGGAUGGUAUUUUAUGGCUUCAACAAAUUCAUUGCAACUUGAAAGAUGAUCGAAAUAAUCAGCACGAUGAUCAUCAGAGUAGUGGGCUAUUGUGAGUGAAACGGCGUCGCCUUGGACGUAAUUGAGAAUGGGUUUGUGGGAAGUUCGAGGCCAAGUGAGGCUUCCUGCCAGAGAUAGAAAGUGUUGGAGGGUGAGAGAGAGCGAGGCUUUGAGUUUUGGAAGUAUGGAAUCAAAGAAGAGUGGUGUUGGGUCAGAGGAAGGAGGCAAUUCGUAGAAGAAUAUGCGUUGAAAAGGUGGAAAUCUUAGCCAGAAUAGGUCAAAGAAAGUUAUCUCAGGAAGGAACCAUGGUGUGGCUGGGGGCAAUGGAACUUCUUGUGGUUCUGGAGCCGUGGUUCUGGACCCGAUCACAAGUGGCACGGAUCACGAAGUUCUGGCCAGCAUAGCAUGGUCAAAGGGUGCGAUCAGUCGGUCUCACCCGACCCGACUCAUUACGGCAGCCCCCCCUUUUUACACCGAUAUUCGAAUACUUUUUUAUAAAUUAAAUUAAUUUUGAGUAAUUUAAAUUAUCACUCAUACUUUUUUUUUUAAAUAUAAAAACAAAAAACAAAGAGCCAUUUUCUCAACACAAAAAAAAGAAAAAAGAAAAAAAGAAAAAAAAGAAAGAGACAAACAGCCAUUGUAAACCAACACAACAAAAUCCAUAGGAGAACAAUGGAUUUUUUUUAUUUUAUACAAUUGAUAUUUUAUUUUAAUUUAAUUUAAAUUACAGAAAAAUAAUUCGAACUCUACUGCAGAAUUGGGAGCACAUCAACUCUAACCGGCUACGCUCAUAUCUGAGGAGAAGAAUGGAUUUAAAAGGCUGGUUGCAAAGGUUUCACAGGUCUUUAGCAAGCAGAGCAGCAAAAGCAUCCAUAUAUUGUUUUUUCAAAACCAACCCAAUCUCAACACCUCCACCACCAUUCUUGCUAUCUGAUAAAGAGAUCGGCCCCGAUUUAUCUAUAGGCGCGACUUCUAUUCUCUUUGGUCUUCCCCAUCCAAAAUCAGUAUCAUAAAGCUGAAACCGAUUUGAGCCAACAAUGGUAAGCACUUAACAUCUGUGCUUUGCAUAUCAGGGUACAAAGUUGAAAUCCAAUUCUCUGCACCAUUCAACAGCCCCUUAUCCAAACCUUUUAUGACUUCAGUGAUUGCAUUUACAGCCAAAACCAACCCAUCUUCUCCUAAUAGGCCUUUUCUCUCUGCAACUACUGCACGGCCCGCUAGGCAGUUCCCAAAAUACUCGGUGGCAAUAUUUAACCAAUUAGACCUAGUGAUAGUUGGCAGUGCACUGUGCAUAUCCAACUAAAUAAUUUUCAAAUCUUAGAUUAAAAAAACCCUAGUUGUUAAGAGAGAAAAAGCUUCAUACCUGGGAGUCUUCCCCUGAUCCGGUCAGAUCUUUGGUGUUCUUUGAUUUUUGGUGAAUCUACGUCGAUCUACUCUACUUUUAACAGAUUUAUUUCGACAUCGCAUUUGCAGCAGUUAACAAAUACAAUUCAAUUCCUCAAUUCUGUCAAUUUGCUUAAUUAAAAAAUGUUUUAUUUUAAAUAAUCAAAAUAAAUAAAUCAAAAAUCAAAAGAAAAUUAUCUCUCUCUGCCUCUCUUCCUUACCCCACCCAGCCCGCCUCCUCCCACACACACACACACCCAACGCCCCCCACCACACCACCACCAACCCAGUCACCCGUUGAGAUGUUGAGGUUAAUUCUUG
rnacentral:lncRNA from 1 species